rnacentral:lncRNA from 1 species
CCUUCCAAAUCCUAUGAAACUAAAUCUUACAUCUUUGGAAGGAGCUUGAAGCUAGCUCUCUGAUCCCAAAUCUCAAACUCCGAAUCCCCCCUAAUUUAUCCUAAGCGGCCAUUUUAGUGGCUAGAGGUUUGGUUUUGACCCCGAUCUACAAACAGUCAUCUCCCGGAUAUCAAUCUUACUUAUCUUAGAGGUUUUUUAGUACUUAUCUAUCCUCAACUUCACCUUAUUAUCUACCAUAUUAUUUUUUUAUUUUAUCUACCUUGUUUUUACUA